rnacentral:tRNA from 1 species
AAAUCCGUCGAAUUUUAAAUCGAAGGGUUCAAGUCCCUCUAUCCCCA